GACAGAGGGUGCAAACGUUGUUCGGAAUUACUGGGCGUAAAGCGUGUGUAGGCGGCUGUUCAAGCCGGGUGUGAAAGCCCCGGGCUCAACCCGGGAAGUGCACUCGAUACUGGAUGGCUUGAGUCUUGGAGAGGUUGGUGGAAUUCUCGGUGUAGAGGUGAAAUUCGUAGAUAUCGAGAGGAACAUCGGUGGCGAAGGCGGCCAACUGGACAAAGACUGACGCUGAGACACGAAAGCGUGGGGAGCAAACAGG
rnacentral:rRNA from 1 species